UAAGCGGAGGAAAAGAAACUAACAAGGAUUCCCCUAGUAACUGCGAGUGAAGCGGGAAAAGCUCAAAUUUAAAAUCUGGCGGUCUUUGGCCGUCCGAGUUGUAAUUUAGAGAAGCGUCUUCCGCGCUGGACCGUGCACAAGUCUCCUGGAAUGGAGCGUCAUAGAGGGUGAGAAUCCCGUCUUUGGCACGGAUGCCUGGUGCUUCUGUGAUGCGCUCUCGAAGAGUCGAGUUGUUUGGGAAUGCAGCUCAAAAUGGGUGGUGAACUCCAUCUAAAGCUAAAUAUUGGCGAGAGACCGAUAGCGAACAAGUACCGUGAGGGAAAGAUGAAAAGCACUUUGGAAAGAGAGUGAAACAGUACGUGAAAUUGUUGAAAGGGGAACGCUUGAAGUCAGUCGCGUCGACCGAGACUCAGCCUUGCCUUGGCUUGGUGUACUUCUCGGCCCGACGGGUCAGCAUCAAUUUUGCCCCUCGGAUAAUGGCAGGGGAAAGGUGGCACCUUUACGGGUGUGUUAUAGUCUCCUGUCGAAUGCGAGGGGUGGGAUUGAGGAACUCAGCGCGCACCUCAGUGUCGGGGCUUCGGCCCACGUCACGCGCUUAGGAUGCUGGCGUAAUGGCUUUAAACGACC
rnacentral:rRNA from 1 species